rnacentral:misc_RNA from 1 species
GAUGAAGAACGCAGCGAAAUGCGAUAAGUAGUGUGAAUUGCAGAAUUCAGUGAAUCAUCGAAUCUUUGAACGCACAUUGCGGCCAUAGGUAUUCCUUUGGCCAUGCCUGUUCGAGCGUCAUUUACACCCUCAAGCCUAGCUUGGUGUUGGGCGCCUGUCCCGCCGUUUUCGCGCGCGGACUCGCCUCAAAGUCAUUGGCGGCGGUCGUGCCGGCCCCCUCGCGCAGCACAUUUGCGCUUCUCGGAGGCCCGGCGGAUCCGCGCUCCAGCAAGACCUUUCACGACUUGACCUCGGAUCAGGUAGGGAUACCCGCUGAACUUAAGAAUAUCAAUAAGCGGAGGA